GGCAAGGUGGCCGAGAGGUUAAGGCGUUUGGCUCGAAAUGGUGGUACAACUACAGUAAGCCAUUACUGGGGUUGUACCGCCAGUGACCAAAUUCGUUCGCGAACCAGGGUUCGAAUCCCUGCCUUGUCG